UAAUGUCCAAGUCAAGGUUACACUGCCUUAGAAAAGACGAGGAAAUAAAUAAAAAAACAUUGGGGAGGGGAAACGGCUUGCUGUGGUGGUUGCUAUAACAUGUAUCUGAGAUAUUUACUGAGAUCUUACACGCCUUAAUUCCAGGAUGACUAACUAUACUAGAAAACAGCGGAGAAGAGUCUGAAGCUUAUUUCCUUGAUGAGAAAUGGAGAAGCUGAAAUUUUAACAUAAGCAAUGGCCUAUUGUUCAAUCUGAUACAGAACUUACGGGCAUUAAUCGUAAACGAAUUCGCUUUGGACACAGGAGGCACAGGAACAUAAAAGAACUUCUGUCACCGGCGGACCCGAUCUACCAAGGGGAGGCAACAUUGAUCAAGCUUUAUUACAGAGAGAAGCAUUUUGGACAUAUAAACUGAACUGUGUUCACCCGAGGGGUCUGAAUAGCUCAUUAUCAUUGAGCUGCUUCCUGUGAGUGAAUGAGCUCCCUAUGUAGUUAACAUAUAAGUGUAAUAACGUAAGGAAUUAAUUUAUCUGCCAACGGUAUGUGUUCUGUUGUUCCAUGUACUUAGUACGUAAGCUGUCUUUUUGCCUCAGACCUAGAUAAGAGCCCCUAAAAGUGGUUGACCAGAAUGGGAAUUUUUCCCACAAUUGUUUUAGGAUUACACAGCUAGUAUCCGAUUCUAAGGGAGCUCGUAUAUACCUUGGGGCAUUUGUAAUUGUUUUUAUGUAUAUGACUUUUAGCCAUUACACAUUAAGUAUUGUAGCUACACUGUUACUUUUAAAACACAGGUACUAUUUUAUCGAACAUAUUGUUCAUGCACAUAUUUAAUAUUUUAUGAUAACAUAUUAAGGGUGGUACACAUGGUAUUGCACCAAGUAACAUGAUGAAUAUAUUAUUGGCAUUUGUCGGUCUUUUACAUAUUAACUUUAAAAUUGUUCUUAAAGUUUUUUGAAAAUGCACAGCAGUCACUAAUUGCUAUUGAUGUCACUUCCUUUUGUUGGGUAUUUAUGGUGAUUGGGAA